CAGCAGCCACGGGAAUACAGAGGGUGCAAGCGUUAAUCGGAAUUACUGGGCGUAAAGCGCGCGUAGGUGGUUUGUUAAGUUGGAUGUGAAAUCCCCGGGCUCAACCUGGGAACUGCAUCCAAAACUGGCAGGCUAGAGUAGGGCAGAGGGUGGUGGAAUUUCCUGUGUAGCGGUGAAAUGCGUAGAUAUAGGAAGGAACACCAGUGGCGAAGGCGACCACCUGGGCUCAUACUGACACUGAGGUGCGAAAGCGUGGGGAGCAAACAGGAUUAGAUACCCCCGUAGUCCCUGUCUCUUAUAC
rnacentral:rRNA from 1 species